rnacentral:rRNA from 1 species
GACGAACGCUGGCGGCGUGCCUAAUACAUGCAAGUAGAACGCUGAAGAGAGGAGCUUGCUCUUCUUGGAUGAGUUGCGAACGGGUGAGUAACGCGUAGGUAACCUGCCUUGUAGCGGGGGAUAACUAUUGGAAACGAUAGCUAAUACCGCAUAACAAUGGAUGACACAUGUCAUUUAUUUGAAAGGGGCAAUUGCUCCACUACAAGAUGGACCUGCGUUGUAUUAGCUAGUAGGUGAGGUAAUGGCUCACCUAGGCGACGAUACAUAGCCGACCUGAGAGGGUGAUCGGCCACACUGGGACUGAGACACGGCCCAGACUCCUACGGGAGGCAGCAGUAGGGAAUCUUCGGCAAUGGGGGCAACCCUGACCGAGCAACGCCGCGUGAGUGAAGAAGGUUUUCGGAUCGUAAAGCUCUGUUGUAAGUCAAGAACGGGUGUGAGAGUGGAAAGUUCACACUGUGACGGUAGCUUACCAGAAAGGGAUGGCUAACUACGUG